CAGCUGUGCCACACCGAGAAACCACUCAUGGCUGCAGCAGAUGGGAACUUUGAAAUGCCCAUGGGUUUAAAGAAAGACAACAAAAACGUCUUCAAUGCUGUUCAUCAAGGCGGCAGCCUCUUCCCUUGGAGACCACCAUGAAUGAGGGCAAGGGGGCAGUCGGUAGGGAGAUCUCUCCUCACUUGCACUACUGUGACGCCGCACAGCAUCACUCACUCAACCCCAGCCUCCAGACCACAGGCCCAGCACUGAUCGGGGACGCAUUCAGCCGCUGAGCCUGAGAUUUUUGUCUUAGCCCACUAAGAAAUGGACUGGAACACCUCCACCCCAUAUCACACCCGACUGGAUGGCGAUCAGAUGGCAUUGCCUACAAGCUGGCAAAGGAGACCUGGAUCGGCAGCACCUGCACAACUUACCAGAUGGCCACAGGCACAUAUUGUACACAAACUUGUCUCGCUCCUUCGUGGUGUCUAAUCCCCUGGAUGAAACAUAAAUGAAUAGUUAUAAUUCACACUUUAUCACCAUCCGUACGAAAUGAAUCGUGUGCUCUGUGCAUAUCAGUACCUUUGAACAUCUGGACUUUUACCUGUCUGUGCCUCAGUUUCUCUUUCUGUGGAUGAAAAUCUUACCCUCUCUCGCUGUGGGGUUGUGACACCUAAGCCACGGAUGUUCCUAAAUUAUCUACUCACCCAUCCUGCCGA